rnacentral:rRNA from 1 species
GACGAACGCUGGCGGCGUGCCUAAUACAUGCAAGUCGAACGAGAGCGACCGGUGCUUGCACUGGUCAAUCUAGUGGCGAACGGGUGAGUAACACGUGGGUAACCUGCCCAUCAGAGGGGGAUAAAAUCCGGAAACGGAUGCUAAAACCGCAUAGGUCUUCGAACCGCAUGGUUUGAAGAGGAAAAGAGGCGCAAGCUUCUGCUGAUGGAUGGACCCGUGGUGCAUUAGCUAGUUGGUGAGGUAACGGCUCACCAAGGCCGUGAUGCAUAGCCGACCUGAGAGGGUGAUCAGCCACAUUGGGACUGAGACACGGCCCAAACUCCUACGGGAGGCAGCAGUAGGGAAUCUUCCGCAAUGGACGCAAGUCUGACGGAGCAACGCCGCGUGAGUGAAGAAGGUUUUCGGAUCGUAAAACUCUGUUGUUAGAGAAGAACAAGUGCUAGAGUAACUGUUAGCGCCUUGACGGUAUCUAACCAGAAAGCCACGGCUAACUACGUG